GAUUUUUGUGACGACAUUUGCCGAAAAUUUCGCUUGCCGAAAAUUUCGCUCAAUAAAAGAAGCGAAAUUUUCGGCAAAUGUCGUCACAAAAAUC